UGACAUCCGAAGUGCGAAUGUGUGUCGGAUCUCGAAUAUGAACCCAGCUGUUCCGCGCUCAGUAAAGCCAAACAAGAGAGAAAGGAGGUUUUAAAAAAUGAAAUGAGAGCAAAGUAAGUGAUUUAACAUAGUUGCAAAAAUUGUAUGUAAGACUGCAGUGAAGGAGGGAGUAAAGCCAUUCCACUCACAACUUCCAACCUGGGAGUGAUGAUUCCUGAGAGGUAGACAGUGGGAUGCAGGGCUCCUCACCCUAAUUCCUUAAGAAUGGACAGUAAGAUGCAGUGCUCCUCACCCUAAUUCCUGAGGAGUAGACAGUGUGAUGAAGGGCUCCUCACCCUAAUUCCUGAGGAGUGGACAGUGGGAUGCAGUGCUCCUCACCCUUAUUCCUGAAUGGUGGACAGUGGGACGCAGUGCCUCACCCUAAUUCCUGAGGAGUGGACAGUGGGAUGCAGUGCUCCUCACCCUUAUUCCUGAAUGGUGGACAGUGGGACGCAGUGCCUCACCCUAAUUCCUGAGGAGUGGAUAGUGGGACGCAGUGCUCCUCACCCAAAUUCCUGAGGACUGGGCGGUGGGAUGCAGGGCUCCUCACCGUGAUUCCUGAGAGGUGGACAGUGUGAUGCAGUGCUCCUUACCUUAAUUCCUGAGGAGCGAACAGUGGGAUGCAAGGCUCCUCACCCUGAUUCCUGAGAGGUGGACGCUUGACCACUCACACAGUUGUGUAUAUUUUAGUCCACUGGUCGCUAUCCUUACCUGCAGAUCUGCCUUUCUGCAGACUUUAGCUCCAGCACUACCCCACCCCACUUGACCUGUCUUGUUAUUGCCCUCAGUAAUCCUUGAUUAGCUGAAUGAGGCAUGUUAGUUUUAUGCUGGAGGUGAACUGUAGGUCUUUGGUGACCACUAGUUUGGUCUGUUUUUAUUUAUACAGGGAGAUUCACCCGAAAGAGGCCCCGAACAUUCUGUUGUAACUCCCGUUAGGACGAAGCAAUCUGAACCAAAAAAAUACGCUGCAUACCUUGACGUAUGUGUAAUCGAUUGCAUUUUCUGCCAGACACAAGAAGGGGUAUGGGGGUGUGCACCCGGACGUUAAACGUCACAACGGCUGUCCGGCACCUGCCUCAUCGCUCCGAAGCAGGGGCAUCCCGGCUUGUUCGAAGCUCCAUAUACUGAGGAUCACAUUGCACAUUGCAUCAUUCACAUUGCUUUGUCCUAGUGAGAGUUAUUACAGAAUAUUUGGGGCCUCUUUCGAGCGAAUCUCCCUGUACAUGUUAUCAUUGUCUAGUUUCCUUUGCAAAUCUAUACAAAGUUAGCAGGUGUAAAAAGUUUUGCACAGGCAAAGUGGUCCUCCCUAUGAUUUUUAUCCUUCUUUUUCUAUUGCAUUUUUAUGUUUAAUACAGUCUGCACCACUUAACAUACUGACUCUUUUCAAACUUUGUUUUGUAGAUCAGUUUAGCAAGAGGUACUGCACACUGCCCUCCCUUUGUCCUUUUAUGCUGAUAAUCUUAUCUUUACCUUUUAAUAUUAAUCUGAAAAGUGAAAAAUGUUUGCUCGCAUAUUUCAUAUUGCAUAUGCUUACUUUCUUUGGUAGAUCACUGUAGAUCACCUUACAUCACUGUAAGGAUAGAGGGGUAGAAUCUAUGGGAGUUAUAUGCAAAGUUGUAGCCUGUCUACUGUAAAAAACAUAUAAUAAGAAAGAAGUUGAAGUACAGUGUUUGUGUGAUUUGGAUUGAUGAAAUACUUUUGUUCAUUUGACCUAUUUGACUUUGCUUUGUUUCUAUCAAAGUGCUUAUGUUAAACUGCUUGUAAACACAUAAAGUACGUUUAACUGCCUAAACAGUUUUUUACAGUGAACAUUGUAAUGCAUGUCUUUUGUUAUAAUUAAUGUGCACUUAACUCCUGGAAUGACUGUACUACAUGAAAAAUAGAACUCAGGUUUGAUCUGUGUUUAAUUUUGAAUAGGAUAUUUCUAUUAGCUGGGCAAAAUGUUGACUUCAUGUGAGCAUUUAACACACUGCAAAUCUGACCAUUGACAAAAAUGUAAUAAUGUAGGGGUAGGCCACCCACAAUGCACUGUCCAGGCAAGAAUGAAGGAAGCCUUUCUGACAGCCUAACCUGUGAACCUAUCUGAGCCUGUCUGUAUAUUGGUAUUUUUAGUUUUACAGUUGAGGCACAUUUCCUGAAGUGGUGCCCCUGCUUUCUCGAAACACACUGCACCAGUGGAUUUCAGUUCUAGUCUUGGAGAUCCACUGUCCUGCACAGUUUAUGAUAUUCUCUGUCUCUAACACACUUGACCCAUCUAGAGUUAUGAGUUGGAUCACGUUUUGGUGUAGGAGUUGGUGAAACUAUGCAGGGAAGUGGGUCCUCAGGACUGAGAUUGGAAAUGUGGACGAUUUUCUACAUGAUUCUGAAUGUAAUCAGUGUGGCUGAUUUAAGCCUGUGAUUAUUUCUUUUAAUAUAUUAUAUUACUCACUUUUUGGAAAUAAUGGAGGAAUGUGUGUGAAGUAUUGGAAAUCAUCCUAAGAGACGCAGUAUUUUUAGAACAGGUCAAGGACAACUAAAAGAAACAAUGUAUCUGAAUGUUGAUAUUGUAUGUUUAUUCAAACAUAAUGGUAUUUAAUUAAGUCAGAAUGUCAUGUGACUGAUAAUUGGUAGUCAAAUCAAGUGAUAUGAGGUAAUUGGGAGGGGCGGGGAAGGAGUCAUGUGAUGACUCCUCUUUGGCCCAGAACUGUUUCAAAGAGGACUGAAUUUUGUAUGCACUUUAGUUGAUUCUCAAGACAACUCAGAUUAAUGCUUGUCUGUUUGUUUGU